AUUUCUUGUUUUUGUCUGUGCUCAUUUUGUUUCUAGAUAUGGCCACCCAAAGAUUUCGUACCACUUGGGAAUAAAGAGUAAAACAGCUGAAUGAAUGUUGUUAGCUCUCCCAAAGUCUGAGUUGACUGCUGUGUUGAGAUCAAGUAUGAGCUAUAGAAUGAACCUAAUUUAUUCAUUUCUAAUUAGUUCUCGAUACAACCAGGUGCCCUGCUACAUUUUGGGGGGCUUAAAAGUAGCCGGGGGCAGUCUUUGCUCUAGAUGAUCACCAUGCCUAAAGUUACAUUAUAUUACCUUAGUGAUGACUUGCAAGUAUCUAGAACCUACAUUGCAAUUCCAUUUUUGUUUCAUGAUAGAUUCUUUUCAUCCAAAACAAUCCGAAGCUUCCUCUGGUUUUCUAUUGUCGUGAAUACAACCAUUACUGAUUGAUAGAACUCGUUAGUGCAACUAAACUGACAAAGUUAUUACCAGUCAUACUUUACUCUGAUUUGGUUAGACAUUACGGCUUUAAAUGCCCAGGUUUGGGCUAACUUUGCAAGCAUAUGUACCUUUUCUAACAAAUGGGAAGAA